UACGUAGGGGGCUAGCGUUGUCCGGAAUCAUUGGGCGUAAAGAGCGUGUAGGCGGCCCGGUAAGUCCGCUGUGAAAGUCGGGGGCUCAACCCUCGAAUGCCGGUGGAUACUGUCGGGCUAGAGUGCGGAAGAGGCGAGUGGAAUUCCUGGUGUAGCGGUGAAAUGCGCAGAUAUCAGGAGGAACACCGAUUGCGAAGGCAGCUCGCUGGGACGUCACUGACGCUGAGACGCGAAAAGCGUGGGGGAGCAAACAGG
rnacentral:rRNA from 1 species